GCCACGGGAAAAGGAUGCGUCCAGGGC
rnacentral:sRNA from 1 species